rnacentral:pre_miRNA from 1 species
CAUCUUACUGGGCAGCAUUGGAUGGUGUCUGGUCUCUAAUACUGCCUGGUAACGAUGAC